CUCUUCCUGUGAGCACAUGUGCUUAACUCUGUUAGCAUGAAUGGUUUUACAGAAGGAAACAGGACCACCCAAGGGAAUAUAAUCUGUGCUGCGACACAGACCAUCCCGGACUGCAGAGAACCUAACACAAUAGCAAGAAAGCAAGGAUGUUAUUUAUAUAUUUUAUCACCAGCACUAUUGGGUCACUUGUCAUCUAUUUCCUGUCACAGAGGACACUAGCAGAAAUAACAGCAGCAGCUGGAAUUAAAAGUGUUUAUGAAAUGAACUGCAAGAAAAGGCAAUAUGAUCUUGGUGAAGAAUACAUCCAUUAAAUCAAGAAAUAUGGAAAGUGCUGUUUAUAUUUACUUCCCAAGGCUGUGUGAUAAAUUGAAACAUAAUAGUAAUCCCUGCCUUCCCCAACUCCCUUCUCAUGGGACUGUAACAUUUUUCAGAUGUGGAUACACAGAUCUACGUAUUGCUCUAGAUAUUUGUGAAAAAAAAAAAUCAGAGGGAUAUUCUAAUGAGAAGAAAACACAGAUCUAGGAUUUGACUGCCAAGCAAACAGACUGGGAGCUGAAGGACCGACAGGCUGAUUCUGAUUUCGCUAGCUCUAAUAGAAAGCAAAAAAGUAAUGCUAUCGUGCCCUUUGUGUAUGCUACCUGCGCCCCUUGCUAA